rnacentral:rRNA from 1 species
GGACCCGCACAAGUAGUGGAGCAUGUGGUUUAAUUCGAAGAUACGCGCAGAACCUUACCAACACUUGACAUGUUCGUCGCGACUUUAAGAGAUUAAAGUUUUCGGUUCGGCCGGACGAAACACAGGUGCUGCAUGGCUGUCGUCAGCUCGUGUCGUGAGAUGUUGGUUAAGUCCCGCAACGAGCGCAACCCUCACUUUUAGUUGCCAUCAUUUAGUUGGGCACUCUGAAAGAACUGCCAGUGAUAAGCUGGAGGAAGGUGGGGAUGACGUCAAGUCCUCAUGGCCCUUACGUGUUGGGCUACACACGUGCUACAAUGGUAUCUACAACAGGAAGCGAAACGGCGACGUUAAAGCAA